GCAGUCUGCAUCGCAUAAAGGCUGCUUUGGUAUCGCACAGCGAGAUUAAGUAGCAAUCUUUACAGUCCACUGCAUUAAGACGCUAUAAAAAAAAUACUGAAAAUGUGUAUGAAAGAUACGCGAACCCUUAUUCGGAACUACCCAGCAAACAUUAAAUCGUAUAAUUUUGCACGUGCCAAGUCUUACAAGAAAUCCGAAUAAAUCAGAAUCGCGUAUAAUAUCAAUCAAAAUAGCCGCGCGAAAUAGCUGGUGGAUGAUAAUCCAGACGACUGGAGUUCGAACCCACAUCGGAGCAGUUUCCACCAAACAUCAAUCUUCGUCAUUUUAAACAUUCAUAUUCCACUCCCAACACGAGU